AAGUCGCGAACUGGAAGCGGCGGAGGACUCCGCAUCCUGAGCGCUCUUGGGCUGUUAUCUCAACGCCCGCGGCGAUCAGCCUUCCAGCAGCCGCAGCAAGCCGCUUCGGUUUCCGUAGGCGCCCUGCGAGGGUCCCUGGUGUGACCCGGCUGGGUGACGCCCGGAGCCAACCUCUCCUCGGUGUGCUUUUAAACUCUGAGAUCCUGGCAGCCAGUGGGAUUUCCCCUGAAAUUCAACCGGAACUAACUGGAUGACAGUUACACUUUAGGCAUCACUCCAAGUUAAACACAAACUGAUCUCAGUUUAUGAUGUUUUCUGCUUUACAACAGAUCUACGUCUCCAAUGUGUAGUUUAUAUACUGAGAACUUUUUGUUUUUAAUGGUCAGGCCUUCAGAUUGUUGCAAUUUAACCAAUUCAUUAUAUGGCCACUAUCUCCAGGAUCUUUCGUGUUUUCCUGGAUGGUUGACUUAACUAAUCUUCCCAGGAACACGGAGUCAGAUGCAGUUAAUAAAUAAAUCGAAAGUCCUUUAGCACAUUGUAGGGUCCAUACUGACAAGACCAAGAUAACAGGACAAUGACACUAGCUACAAGAGAAACUCAGAAUUCUGUUUCUGGAAUUAGCUUUCAACUUGCCCAUUACUUGCACAAAAAGGAAAGACUCUUUCUCAGGGCAGUGGUGGCCACAUCUUUAAUCCCAGCACCCAGGAGACAGGGGCAGGCAGAUGUCUUGAGUUCGAGGAUGCUACACAGAGAAACUCUGUCUCGAAGAAAAGAAAAACAUCAUUUGAAACUGUGCUACUGGCCGAUGCAAGAGUACCAAAUUUCCAUUCUGGUGGCACAGACCUGUAACUCAAACUACUGGGGAAGCUGAGACAGGAGAAUCCCAAAAUCAAGGACAGCCGGGGCUUAAAACCUGUCUAGGUAAAAAGAGGGUUGGCAUUAUAGCUUAGUAGUAGGACUCUUGCCUGGCAUGUAGGAAGUAAUGGACUCAAUCCCAAGGACAGGGGAGGAGAACCUGAACAUCUACGGCUACAGAGAUCGCUCCACAGUUUAAGAGCACGUGCUAUUUCAGAGAACCUGAGUUAGGUUCCCCACAUCCAAAUUAGGGGACUCACAACUACCUGUAACUACAGUUCAAGGGGACCCAGUGCUCUCUUCUGGCCUCUGAAGGCAACGUAAACAUACGACACUCAUUUGCCCAGACACACAAAACAUGUAUACAUAUAAAUAAAAACAAAUCUUAAAAAAAAAAAUAGACUGUUAAUCUGUUAUCCAUGCGCCUCAGAACGCGGUGCUUGCAGGAGCUUGGCCCCGGGUGCCUGCAGGGAAGCUGAAGUGGGCCUCGCAGAAGAGAUGGAGACUCUGCAAGCUCAGGGGACGCAGGGAAGAGGGCCAUCAGCCUCCCAAAUCCAAAGGGCCUCAUGCUCCGAGACCCCACCGAGACCACAAUGAAGACGCAGCACAAGAUGGCGCACACCUUUAAUUUCAGCACUCAGAGGGCAGACACAGAUGAAAAUCAACUUGGUCUACAUAAGGAGUUGCAAGACAGCCAGUGCUACACUAUAGAGAAACUCUGUCUCAACAAAACAAAACCACUAAGGAUGGGCUGGUUGUGCUGAUGAUGACAGAAGUCAGAGUCUCUCGCCUUUUAGGCAAGUGCUGUACUGCUGAGACAAACACCAGCAACUUAGCAAAACUGUGGCCUGGGGUCUGGUUUUAUUUAUUUAUUUUCUGAAUCAAUAUGAAUUUUCUUAACACACAUUUGUCGAAGUCUGUACAAACCAAACAUUUCUAUGUUUUAAAAAUGUCCAUUAUUACAAACAUACAAAGAAAUGGAAGGUGUUACCAAAAGUUACUCAAUUACAUGAUAAAAUGCUGUCAUAAUAUUUUUUUAAAAAUCAACAUUUCAGGACUGAGGCUUCCUCUGUCUUUUCUAAGCUCGUGGGAGUUAAAAAACUGUGUAUUUGCUGAAUAUUAAAUUCUUAGAUCUUAAAAAGGUUUAGCAUAAAACUAAGUAAAUCUUUGUAUAUUGUCACACC
ensembl:lincRNA 4930540M05Rik RIKEN cDNA 4930540M05 gene